GACGAACGCUGGCGGCGUGCUUAACACAUGCAAGUCGAGCGGUAAGGCCCUUUCGGGGGUACACGAGCGGCGAACGGGUGAGUAACACGUGAGCAAUCUGCCCCUCACUUUGGGAUAACCACCGGAAACGGUGGCUAAUAUCGAAUCUGAUCACCGGCCGCAUGGUCUGGCGGUGGAACGGUCUGGGGGGGGAGGAUGAGCUAGCGGCCUAUAAGCUUGUUGGUGGGGUAAUGGCUUACCAAGGCGACGCCGGGUAGCCGGUCUGAGAGGGUGACCGGCCAAACUGGGACUGAGACUCGGCCCAGACUCCUACGGGAGGCAGCAGUGGGGAAUAUUGGACAAUGGGCGAAAGCCUGAUCCAGCAACGCCGCGUGAGGGAUGACGGCCUUCGGGUUGUAAACCUCUUUCAGUACCGACGAAGCGCAAGUGACGGUAGGUACAGAAGAAGCACCGGCCAACUACGUGCCAGCAGCCGCAGUAA
rnacentral:rRNA from 1 species